rnacentral:lncRNA from 1 species
AGGACCUCAAAGGAGCUUCACAGACAAAUAAUAAUUAAUUGUCCCAGAACCACUUAGGAAUGGUAAAUUACUCUUGUCCUUAUUUUUCAGAAGGGGAAAUUGAGAGACCAAAGUAAGAACCAAAAAUUGCCCAGGGCAAGCAGCAUGAAAUUCAUCUUCAGUUAAAUGACAACGGUGGUGAUGGCUGCAGCAGAGAGAAAGUCCCAGAAAGCUGUGCUUGAUGAAACCACUGACUGAUCCCGUGGGGAAGACCGUAACUCGGUUUCUGGACACAGCUGUAGCAGCCUGUGUAACUGUAUUAUAUUGAACUAAGGCUGUCAUUGAGUUUGAGAUCUGUUUUAAACACUGCUGAGGAAACAGUGAACAGAGAGACUAUGAAGAACGUGGAGCUUGGCCUCUAUAUCACUUGAACCAGUCGGGAGAAGAUGGAGAUGCAAUUAUGCAGUGACUUGUCAGAGCUUUCAUGGAUUGAGCACAUCAGCCUUUUACUUUAAUUCAAAGAGAG